ACAGCAGUAGCCGCGGGAAAACAGAGGGUGCGAGCGUUAAUCGGAUUUACUGGGCGUAAAGCGUGCGUAGGCGGCUUCUUAAGUCGGAUGUGAAAUCCCUGAGCUUAACUUAGGAAUUGCAUUCGAUACUGGGAAGCUAGAGUAUGGGAGAGGAUGGUAGAAUUCCAGGUGUAGCGGUGAAAUGCGUAGAGAUCUGGAGGAAUACCGAUGGCGAAGGCAGCCAUCUGGCCUAAUACUGACGCUGAGGUACGAAAGCAUGGGGAGCAAACAGGAUUAGAUACCCCAGUAGUCCCUGUCUCUUAUAC
rnacentral:rRNA from 1 species